GGGUUGUGAGGUUAAGCGACUAAGCGUACACGGUGGAUGCCCUGGCAGUCAGAGGCGAUGAAGGGCGUGCUAAUCUGCGAUAAGCGCCGGUAAGGUGAUAUGAACCGUUAUAACCGGCGAUACCCGAAUGGGGAAACCCAGUGUGAUUCGUCACACUAUCAUUAACUGAAUCCAUAGGUUAAUGAGGCGAACCGGGGGAACUGAAACAUCUAAGUACCCCGAGGAAAAGAAAUCAACCGAGAUUCCCCCAGUAGCGGCGAGCGAACGGGGAGGAGCCCAGAGCCUGAAUCAGCAUGUGUGUUAGUGGAAGCGUCUGGAAAGGCGCGCGAUACAGGGUGACAGCCCCGUACACAAAAGCGCAUGUGCUGUGAGCUCGAUGAGUAGGGCGGGACACGUGGUAUCCUGUCUGAAUAUGGGGGGACCAUCCUCCAAGGCUAAAUACUCCUGACUGACCGAUAGUGAACCAGUACCGUGAGGGAAAGGCGAAAAGAACCCCGGCGAGGGGAGUGAAAAAGAACCUGAAACCGUGUACGUACAAGCAGUGGGAGCACCCUUCGGGGUGUGACUGCGUACCUUUUGUAUAAUGGGUCAGCGACUUAUAUUCUGUAGCAAGGUUAACCGUAUAGGGGAGCCGGAGGGAAACCGAGUCUUAACCGGGCGUUAAGUUGCAGGGUAUAGACCCGAAACCCGGUGAUCUAGCCAUGGGCAGGUUGAAGGUUGGGUAACACUAACUGGAGGACCGAACCGACUAAUGUUGAAAAAUUAGCGGAUGACCUGUGGCUGGGGGUGAAAGGCCAAUCAAACCGGGAGAUAGCUGGUUCUCCCCGAAAGCUAUUUAGGUAGCGCCUCGUGAAUUCAUCUCCGGGGGUAGAGCACUGUUUCGGCUAGGGGGCCAUCCCGGCUUACCAACCCGAUGCAAACUGCGAAUACCGGAGAAUGUUAUCACGGGAGACACACGGCGGGUGCUAACGUCCGUCGUGAAGAGGGAAACAACCCAGACCGCCAGCUAAGGUCCCAAAGUCAUGGUUAAGUGGGAAACGAUGUGGGAAGGCCCAGACAGCCAGGAUGUUGGCUUAGAAGCAGCCAUCAUUUAAAGAAAGCGUAAUAGCUCACUGGUCGAGUCGGCCUGCGCGGAAGAUGUAACGGGGCUAAACCAUGCACCGAAGCUGCGGCAGCGAACGUAUCACCCAAGACAACUUUACGGAGUUGACGAUUGACGGAGCGAAGCGACGUCAAAGCGUUCAUUAAAGUCGAGUUGGCUUAGGGAUACGUUCGUUGGGUAGGGGAGCGUUCUGUAAGCCUGUGAAGGUGUGUCGUGAGGCAUGCUGGAGGUAUCAGAAGUGCGAAUGCUGACAUAAGUAACGAUAAAGCGGGUGAAAAGCCCGCUCGCCGGAAGACCAAGGGUUCCUGUCCAACGUUAAUCGGGGCAGGGUGAGUCGACCCCUAAGGCGAGGCCGAAAGGCGUAGUCGAUGGGAAACGGGUUAAUAUUCCCGUACUUGGUGUUACUGCGAAGGGGGGACGGAGAAGGCUAUGUUGGCCGGGCGACGGUUGUCCCGGUUUAAGCGUGUAGGUGUGUGUUCCAGGUAAAUCCGGUUCACUUUAACACUGAGGCGUGACGACGAGGCACUACGGUGCUGAAGCAACAAAUGCCCUGCUUCCAGGAAAAGCCUCUAAGCAUCAGGUAACACGAAAUCGUACCCCAAACCGACACAGGUGGUCAGGUAGAGAAUACCAAGGCGCUUGAGAGAACUCGGGUGAAGGAACUAGGCAAAAUGGUGCCGUAACUUCGGGAGAAGGCACGCUGACACGUAGGUGAAGUGAUUUACUCACGGAGCUGAAGUCAGUCGAAGAUACCAGCUGGCUGCAACUGUUUAUUAAAAACACAGCACUGUGCAAACACGAAAGUGGACGUAUACGGUGUGACGCCUGCCCGGUGCCGGAAGGUUAAUUGAUGGGGUCAGCGCAAGCGAAGCUCCUGAUCGAAGCCCCGGUAAACGGCGGCCGUAACUAUAACGGUCCUAAGGUAGCGAAAUUCCUUGUCGGGUAAGUUCCGACCUGCACGAAUGGCGUAAUGAUGGCCAGGCUGUCUCCACCCGAGACUCAGUGAAAUUGAACUCGCUGUGAAGAUGCAGUGUACCCGCGGCAAGACGGAAAGACCCCGUGAACCUUUACUAUAGCUUGACACUGAACAUUGAGCCUUGAUGUGUAGGAUAGGUGGGAGGCUUUGAAGUGUGGACGCCAGUCUGCAUGGAGCCGACCUUGAAAUACCACCCUUUAAUGUUUGAUGUUCUAACGUGGACCCGUAAUCCGGGUUGCGGACAGUGUCUGGUGGGUAGUUUGACUGGGGCGGUCUCCUCCUAAAGAGUAACGGAGGAGCACGAAGGUUGGCUAAUCCUGGUCGGACAUCAGGAGGUUAGUGCAAUGGCAUAAGCCAGCUUGACUGCGAGCGUGACGGCGCGAGCAGGUGCGAAAGCAGGUCAUAGUGAUCCGGUGGUUCUGAAUGGAAGGGCCAUCGCUCAACGGAUAAAAGGUACUCCGGGGAUAACAGGCUGAUACCGCCCAAGAGUUCAUAUCGACGGCGGUGUUUGGCACCUCGAUGUCGGCUCAUCACAUCCUGGGGCUGAAGUAGGUCCCAAGGGUAUGGCUGUUCGCCAUUUAAAGUGGUACGCGAGCUGGGUUUAGAACGUCGUGAGACAGUUCGGUCCCUAUCUGCCGUGGGCGCUGGAGAACUGAGGGGGGCUGCUCCUAGUACGAGAGGACCGGAGUGGACGCAUCACUGGUGUUCGGGUUGUCAUGCCAAUGGCACUGCCCGGUAGCUAAAUGCGGAAGAGAUAAGUGCUGAAAGCAUCUAAGCACGAAACUUGCCCCGAGAUGAGUUCUCCCUGAGACUUUAGGUCUCCUGAAGGAACGUUGAAGACGACGACGUUGAUAGGCCGGGUGUGUAAGCGCAGCGAUGCGUUGAGCUAACCGGUACUAAUGAACCGUGAGGCUUAACCUUACAACGCCGAAG
rnacentral:rRNA from 1 species